UGAUGGUGACCCAAACCCUCACCAGAGUAGCAAUUGGAGGGCAAGUCUGGUGCCAGCAGCCGCGGUAAUUCCAGCUCCAAUAGCGUAUAUUAAACUUGUUGCAGUUAAAAAGCUCGUAGUUGUAUUUUUGCGUUAGCGGUUUGACCAUUUGGUUGGUUAUUUCGUUUUCGCUUUUGGGAAUUUCCCUUUUUACUUUGAGAAAAUUAGAGUGUUUCAAGCAGACUUUUGUCUUGAAUACUUCAGCAUGGAAUAAUAGAGUAGGACUUUGGUUCUAUUUUGUUGGUUAUUGAACCUUAGUAAUGGUUAAUAGGAACGGUUGGGGGCAUUCGUAUUUAACUGUCAGAGGUGAAAUUCUUAGAUUUGUUAAAGACGAACUACUGCGAAAGCGUU
rnacentral:rRNA from 1 species